UUCCUUUGUUUCUGCACCCAUAGCUGCUGCAUUUAGGUUUGUUCUCCUUUGCUGUAGGGUUGUGUCACUCUAUUGCUAUUCUUUCAAUCAUGUUAUAGCAUUACAAAGAGAAAAAAGCAAAGCAUAGGACAGGCAACAUUUUCUUCCAGGUCUAGCUGCUCAGCAUGUGCCUUAUCUAGUGCUCUUUUAAUGCUUUCAGGAUUAAUUGAACUGAGCCAGUCCUACUUAUCAAGGUAAAAGCAUUUAACCCCAGAAUAUUGUGCACUCCUGCUUCAGUGUCUUGCAACCAUAUGAACUAUUUUCCAUGCUUUGGUUUUGUUCUCAUGUGCCAUUUUCAUGCUCCUCACUUACAGCCACUCUUUGGCUGCUAAUGCUCCAAGAAUUUCUGUUAGCAGAGGCAUUGGGCCAGGAGGUUGUAUGAUUCAGACAGUUUUUGGCAGUGAAAAGCAGAGGAGGAAACUGUGGAAACGCUGUGAAAUUCAUGAAUCAAAUCCUGGGCAUCUAUGGCUUGGUGCCAUUAAGAGUGGAAAAGAUCUCUAAGGUCAUCAAGUCCAAUCAUCCAACCACCAAUCCAUGCCCGCUAAUCCAUGUCCCUCCAUGCUGCAUCUCUGUGGUUCCUGAAUGCCUCCAGGGACAGUGACACCAACGCCUCACUUCAGAGCGCUGUGCCAGAAUCUUUCCAACUGCAGCCUUCAGGAUAGGCUCCUGCGCCGAUACUGAGCGGAAAGAACGUUGAGUAUUUUUACCAUGAGACCACAGGAACGGUCCAAGAGAGGAUAAACUACAGGACAUGAUCAUGGGGAGCAGCAGCAGUAGGAUGGUGAUGGCUCUGUCAUGCAUCAACUUGAUAAGGUCAGCCACAUCGUCCUCAUGGAGAGCAGCCAAGGUGUUCAAGGUGCAGCUGAGGUCUGUGCCAGCACUGGGGUAUGCCCCCUGCCCUUGAUGUCCCCAACCCUAACCCAGCCACUGCUACCAGCUUCACGCCUGUGACGCCAAUGGUUGUGACAGUAGGA